rnacentral:rRNA from 1 species
AGAGUUUGAUCCUGGCUCAGAACGAACGCUGGCGGCGUGGCUAAGACAUGCAAGUCGAACGGACUAUCUUGACGAGUAAUCAGACGGAUAGUUAGUGGCGAAAGGGUGAGUAAUGGGUAGGUAACGUACCUCGCGCUUCGGGAUAGCGUCUCGAAAGGGGCGGUAAUACCGGAUGAUGUCGUUUGUCGACAGGCAGGCGAGCAAAGAUUUAUCGGCGUGAGAGCGGCCUAUCUCCUAUCAGCUUGUUGGUGAGGUAACGGCUCACCAAGGCGAAGACGGGUAGCGGGACUGAGAGGUUGGCCCGCCACAUCGGGACUGAGACACUGCCCGGACCCCCACGGGGGGCUGCAGUAACGAAUCUUGGGCAAUGAGCGAAAGCUUGACCCAGCGACGCCGCGUGUAGGAGGAAGUCCUUCGGGAUGUAAACUACUGUCAGGGGUAAGAAAGUGCGCUUCGGCGCAUUGAUCUAACCCAGAGGAAGUCACGGCUAACUUCGUGCCAGCAGCCGCGGUAAGACGAAGGUGGCAAGCGUUGUUCGGUAUCACUGGGCUUAAAGCGUGUGUAGGCGGAAGCGUAAGCGUUUUGUGAAAUCCCUCGGCUUAACCGAGGAAUUGCUUGACGAACUGCGCUUCUUGAGGCAGGUAGGGGUGCACGGAACUCUUGGUGGAGCGGUGGAAUGCGUAGAUAUCAAGAGGAACGCCGGUGGAGAAGUCGGUGCACUGGGCCUGUCCUGACGCUGAGACACGAAAGCGUGGGGAGCGAACGGGGUUAGAUACCCCGGUAGUCCACGCCGUAAACGAUGUCUACUAGGUUGUGGCGGUUCUGACGCCGGCACAGCCGAAGCAAAAGUGUUAAGUAGACCGCCUGGGGAGUACGGUCGCAAGGCUAAAACUCAAAGGAAUUGACGG